CGUUAUCCGGAAAGAGAAGAACAGCAACACCAGUAACGUGCCUUGUGCUGGCAAUCUCACCUCCAAGCUCAAGGAGCAGAUCAAAACCAGAAGGAGAACCAGGUUCAAACUUUUCAUCAAAUCCUUGAAGGUAAAAAUAGUCUCUUUAUUAACAUCUUCUGAUCAUACACAUAGGAUUCGCUCGUAUGAUCGCGUGUCUUUGUAGAUAUUCUUCUCUGAGCUUUACCUUUCUAAGUCUCAUUGUUUUUGUUUUUGUCCCACUGGUAUUGCAGAGGUGGUGGAGUUGCUUGUGAAAAGUUUGCAGAUGAGGCGUAAAGAGGUGACAAAUUGCAAGCCAAGUUUUGAAGCUGCUUUUGUUUUACUGCCUUGUUUGGUUGUUUGCUUGAAGAACUGAUCUAUAAUCUGCGAUUAUCAUCAACUUGGUAGAAGAUUAAAGAUUUUACCUUUCCGGAAUCAAGCCUUGUUCUUUAUUCUGUAUUAAGCUGCAAAUUUCAUGGCUUUAUUAUGAUGUACCCAUAUCCAUUUCGAAUUCUAUCUUUUAAAACGGGACGAGAAAGGGGAUACUUAUACUAAAAAUCUAUCCUCGUCUCGAACCAUCUUCUCUGUUUGUGCGUCGAUUAUUCUUAAUGCCAGCACAAAUAAAAAACCAACAAUUUUCCAAAUCUCUUUCUUCCUUGUUUGUAUCCUAAUGCCUGCUCUUGGUGAUCAUUAUGUUGUUUUAAACGGGUACCUAUAAAUCCGUUGAGGAUAAGAUUCAAAAAUAUAUUAUG
rnacentral:lncRNA from 1 species